AUGUGAACAGGGGGCAAUUUUGUAAAUACAUAAAACUUGUAAAUUAGUCGCUCCUCCUCUCCCUGCAUCUGUACUACUGGACUUCAAACAAAAACUAAAUCACAAUCUAUCAAGAAAUCACGUCCGACAAUCCCACAAGCAUCAUCAAUAUGCGAUUCAUCACAGCGAUUUACAAAAAAUCAAGUUCGACGCUCCACAAUAUCAGUAGUUCAUCAUCAAACUUCAUCGUAUGUUCGAUAUUAGUGCAAAAAGAACAUAAUCAUCGAUUUCACAUUCCUCUUCGAUUCGAAAUUAGGGCAAAACGACCAUAAUCAUCAAGAUUUGUUGUACAGAUAGGGAUAAUUUGAAGAACAUAUGUCGUUUAAUGGAAUCGCGUCUAACGGAAUCACGUCUAACGGAAUCACGAUUCGUUGUUGCACCGUUCUGUGAAUUUAUCAUCUAUGGCAAAAAAAUACACGGAUUAACAGAUGAUAGAGUUAAGCAUAUGUUAGACGAAGAGGCGUUGAAGCAAUAGGAAUGCUGGGGUGUGCUCAACAACUGGAAAAGGAACAGGCAAUAUGAUGUUAUGGAUGUUAGAUGUGGGUGAUUCAAGGAUCGAAACUGUUGGGGCGGAUACGUGAAAUGUUGUCUGUGUGAAGAUGGCGAUGAAACAGCUGAACACCUUCUUUGUUCGUGCAGGGUCUGGUAUCACAUCAGUCAGUGGUGCAAGGAAAAAAUUAUUCGAAACUGCUCAUGGAUUGACAACAAAGGCGUAUUUGAUUAAUAGGUUAACGGAUGAAAAAUACCAGGGAAAAUGAUGGACGAAGAGGCGCUGAAACAAGAGGAGUGUUGGAAGAUAGUUAUGAAAUGGAAAGAAGAUCAGAAGGUGUGAGGUUGUGAACUAAUGCGAAUGUUAUGUAGGUAGUUUGUGGAUAUGCAAUUUAUAAAGACAUUUUUUUUGUUUUCUUGAUGUCUUUUGAUUGUAAUAUGUGGGUAGUUUUUUACGAUAAUGGUUGAUAUAAGAAGUUUGA